rnacentral:rRNA from 1 species
CCAAGGAGUCUAACAUGUACGCGAGUCGUAGGGUACUGCAAAACCCGAAGGCGAAAUGAAAGUGAAGGCCGGUACUCAUUUUUCGUACCCGUGCAAACGAGUCGAAAUUGGGGAAAGCUGUGGCGAGAUCCUUAAAAGGUUAGGUUUUCUUUACACCUUGUUCACAAAGGGAACAACUCCAAAGCGCUGCCCGUACACUCGGGUGGAGUAUGUCAACCCUGCUGUCGGUGACGAGGAAUCAUGUAAGAAAUCUUUCCUAUCCUCGAGUAUCGAUGAAAAGAACUCGGGGGGGCGCAUCGCCGGCCCGUCUAAAUCCGAUUUUUUCUUGCUUUUUUCGAUCACAACGUUUGUGGGGGUGUAAAAACCAACUCAACGUACAUUUCGUUAAUCGCUCGAUUAAAUAUAUUACCGGAUAGGGCGGAGCAGGAGCGUACACGUUGGGACCCGAAAGAUGGUGAACUAUGCUUGGGCAGGACGAAGCCAGAGGAAACUCUGGUGGAGGUCCGUAGCGAUUCUGACGUGCAAAUCGAUCGUCAGACCUGAGUAUAGGGGCGAAAGACUAAUCGAACCAUCUA